rnacentral:rRNA from 1 species
UGACCGCUGGCGGCAGGCCUAACACAUGCAAGUCGACCGGUAACAGGAAGAAGCUUGCUUCUUUGCUGACGAGUGGCGGACGGGUGAGUAAUGUCUGGGAAACUGCCUGAUGGAGGGGGAUAACUACUGGAAACGGUAGCUAAUACCGCAUAACGUCGCAAGACCAAAGAGGGGGACCUUCGGGCCUCUUGCCAUCGGAUGUGCCCAGAUGGGAUUAGCUAGUAGGUGGGGUAACGGCUCACCUAGGCGACGAUCCCUAGCUGGUCUGAGAGGAUGACCAGCCACACUGGAACUGAGACACGGUCCAGACUCCUACGGGAGGCAGCAGUGGGGAAUAUUGCACAAUGGGCGCAAGCCUGAUGCAGCCAUGCCGCGUGUAUGAAGAAGGCCUUCGGGUUGUAAAGUACUUUCAGCGGGGAGGAAGGGAGUAAAGUUAAUACCUUUGCUCAUUGACGUUACCCGCAGAAGAAGCACCGGCUAACUCCGUG